rnacentral:tRNA from 1 species
GGGCCGUUAGCUCAGGCGGCAGAGCAACGCACUUUUAAUGCGUGGGUCGGCGGUUCGAAUCCGCCACGGCUCACCA